rnacentral:rRNA from 1 species
UCUCAGUUCGGAUUGUCCUCUGCAACUCGAGGGCAUGAAGUUGGAAUCGCUAGUAAUCGCGGAUCAGCAUGCCGCGGUGAAUACGUUCCCGGGCCUUGUACACACCGCCCGUCACACCAUGGGAGUUGGUUCUACCCGAAGGCGAUGCGCUAACCCGCAAGGGAGGCAGUCGACCACGGUAGGGUCAGCGACUGGGGUGAAGUCGUAACAAGGUAGCCGUAGGGGAACCUGCGGUUGGAUCACCUCAUAA